rnacentral:rRNA from 1 species
AUUGAACGCUGGCGGCAGGCCUAACACAUGCAAGUCGAGCGGCAGCGGAAAGUAGCUUGCUACUUUGCCGGCGCGCGGCGGACGGGUGUGUAAUGUCUGGGAAAUUGCCUGAUGGAGGGGGUUACCUACUGGAAACGGUAGCUAAUACCGCAUAACGUCGCAAGCGCAAAGAGGGGGAGCUUCGGGCCUCUUGCCAUUCGAUGUGCCCAGAUGGGAUUAGCUAGUAGGUGGGGUAACGGCUCACCAAGGCGACGAUCCCUAGCUGGUCUGAGAGGAUGACCGGCCACACUGGAACUGAGACACGGUCCAGACUCCUACGGGAGGCAGCAGUGGGGAAUAUUGCACAAUGGGCGCAAGCCUGAUGCAGCCAUGCCGCGUGUAUGAAGAAGGCCUUCGGGUUGUAAAGUACUGUCAGCGGGGAGGAAGGUGUGGGGGUUAAUAACCUCAGCAAUUGACGUUACCCGCAGAAGAAGCACCGGCUAACUCCGUG